rnacentral:lncRNA from 1 species
CGAGGUGGGUGCGAAUUUCUAAAAAAAAAAAAGAGGCGCCCGGACUGGACCAUUUCCACCAUCCAUUAUAUGGAGAUUACAUCUCCACCGUUCAUUCCUAACACAUAUCUACUCUCUUUCGGUCUCUCAUCUCUCGAAUUGUCAGUUCGUUCUCUCAUAUCUUGAAUUCCCAACUCGAGCCUCGAGGUCUUCAUCUCUCAACUCCAACUACCAUCUUUUAUGUCGUGACAUUGUUUUCUUUGUCAGUCUGUACGUUAUGUUCGCCGCAAGACUUCAGCAGAGCUCUGGUAAAGAUGACCAAAAAGGACGAGGACAUCACCGCCUCUCUCGACGACUUCAUAGAGAAAGAUAUCGACAUCCUCGGUAAGUAAAAGAAGAAGUUUGAAGGGUCGAAGCUUACCAGUUGUUAGCCGCGCCUCGGUAUGUGAUUUGAGGCUCAAAUUUAUGUAAUUUAAAGCAAAAUAAGUGCUUUUAGGAAAUCUGCUUAUGGGUAUGUAUGAUUUUGUUUUGAUUCAUCAAUUGGUGUAAUUUGUAAUGGCAAGGGUGGAGGUUUUGGAUCCAUGAGGAAGACGACGUCUUUCUAGAUUGAUAUGCGUGUUAGGUUAGCGGCUGCUGGUGUGGUUGGGCUCAAGCACAAAUUGCAGAUCUUGUUAGACCCGUGAACUCAGCCCGAAUCAGCCCAUUUCAAACGGGCCAGGUUAAGUCUGAUUCCAAAUUUAUAAGUUUCAUUACUCGCCCCGCUCCACUUUGUUUCAUUUUAAAAUGGGUCCAGUCUGGUCCCUCCAAAUUUGGGCCUUAGUGUGUCAUUUACUAUAUUGCUCAUAAUUUUAUUUUAGUUAGGGGUGUGAUAUCCACACACCCCUUUUUACUUCUCACACACCCUUUAUUUAUUUCUAUCAUUUGAUAUUUUUCAAUUCAUAUGAUCCAAUGACUGGAAAUUAAAAGGGUGUAUGAAAAGUAAAAAUGGGUGUGUGAGAAGUAGGCCUGGUAAUUCCUGACACGACCCGAUAACCCGACACGACACGACACGAAAUUAACAGGUGUUCGGGUCGACACAAUAACGAAUCGGGUGGUUAUCGGGUAACCUGAUAAGCACCUGUUAAGAUAACAGGUUGAUUCGGGUAUACACGUGGGUAACACGAUACACGAUAAGCAGAAUAUUAAUUUUAUAACCCUAAAAAAAUAUUGUAAUAAUUAUAUAUAUUAAUUUAACAAUUUUAUACCCCUAAAAACUAUAAUAUAUAUAUAUAUAUAUAUAUUAAAUUAACUAUAAUAAUUAUAAUAAUUAUACAUACUAUAAUAAUUAUACCCCAAAAUAUUAACUAUCUAUAAUAAUUAUAUAUAUAUGUAUAGAUUAAAUUUUGAAUUAUAAAAACUAUAAUAAUUAUUAAUUAAUAUGUAUGCAUCCAUUGAUUUGAAUUUUGAUUCCAUAAUUGAUCCAUUCCAUUCCCUGCUGCAGUGCCACCCUUUUUGAAGAAAAAGGGAGGGAAAAUGAAAAUGAUAAGAAAAGUUGAAAAGGAAACAAAAAAGAGAGGGAAUUAGGGAAAGAUGGAUGGAUAGGGUGGAGGGAAAAGUGAAAAUUAUAUGAAAAGUUGAAAAUGAAACAAAAAAGAGAGGGAAAAAUGAAAAUUAAUAGAAGUGCAGUGGUGAGAAUAUUUUUUUUUUAAGUUAUUAACUUUUUAUCGCACAUGAUAUAUCCCACUAUUUUUAUAAUGACACGUGAUGUACUACUCUGUGUACCAGUCAAUUAUACAUACAAAAUAAAUAGAUUUAAAUCUACUUUAUAUAUAUAUACACACACACACACACAUACACCAUUGAACUUGAUGGGAUACGAAUUCUCCGAAACAAAUUUCAACGAUCACAACCGUCAAACUUGUUUGUAUAUGCUUCGAGAUCACAUCACCAAAAAAUCACAAAAAACAAACAUUCAGAGAUCAAGUAAUGAGACAAAUCUUUUCGACGGUUAUAAACGAAAAAUCACGAUUUAACGGUUAUUUUAACUCCGAUUUUGAUGAUUUUUUACAGCUACACUCCUUGACCCUAUAUGAAUACAAUGAAUGAAUUUGAUCUUCAAUUUAAAAUAUUUACACAAGUGGAUACCAUAAAAUCUUAUGUUAUACUUGAUGAAAGUAUAAAUAAAGUCUAAGUGUUAGUCAAUCUAUUGUUUUGAUGGGAUACAAAUUCUCCGAAACUAAUUUCAACGAUCCCAACCGUCAAACUUGUUUGUAUAUGCUUCGAGAUCACAUCACCAAAAAAUCACAAAAAACAAACAUUUAGAGAUCAAGUAACGGGACAAAGCUUUUUGACGAUUAUAAACGAAAAAUCAUGAUUUAACGGUUAUUUUAACACCGAUUUUGAUGAUUUUUUACAGCUACAGUCCUUGACCCUAUGUGAAUAUAAUGAAUGAAUUCGAUCUUCAAUUUAAAAUAUUUACACAAGUGGAUAACACAAAAUCUUAUGUUAUACUUAAUGAAAGUAUAAAUAAACUCUAAGUGUUAGUCAAUCUAUUGUUUUGAUGGGAUACGAAUUAUCCGAAACUAAUUUCAACGAUCCCAACCGUUAAACUUGUUUGUAUAUGCUUCGAGAUCACAUAAGCAAAAAAUCACAAAAAACAAACAUUCAAAGAUCAAGUAACGGAACAAAACUUUUCAACGGUUAUAAACGAAAAAUCACGAUUUAACGGUUAUUUUAACUCCGAUUUUGAUGAUUUUUUACAGCUACAGUCCUUGACCGUAUAUGAAUACAAAGAAUGAAUUCGAUCUUCAAUUUAAAAUAUUUACACUAGUGGAUGUGGAUAUCACAAAAUCUUAUGUUAUAUACUUAAUAAAAGUAUGAAUCAACUAUAAUAAUUAUAUAUAUUAAUUUAACAAUUUUAUACCCCUAAAAACUAUAGUAAUUAUAUAAAUAUUAAUAUAUAUAUUAAAUUAAAUUUAAAAAAUUGAUGACCAUUUGGAUCGGCUGAGAUUUAAUCUUUUGAGAAAGACUUACAACCUUGAAAACAAAAACUCUUUCAUUUUGCAUAUCCUUGCACAUUUAAUAUUUGUAAUAGAUUAGUAGUGUAUGUAUUAUUUUUUUAUUAGGCUCUUAUUUUCGAGUGUAGUUAUAGUACUUAAAUGACAAAUGUUUUAAUGUUUUGAAGUAAUAUUUAUGUGGCAAUAUGUGGUAUGUGCAAAUUUAAAAAAAAAAAUAUAUUUUUCUUAACGGGUCAUAACGGGUCAGGUCACUUUACCCGUUAGGUAAAGUGACACGACCUGUUAAGGACCCAUUAAGAUAACGGGUGUGACGACACGACCCGUUAAGAUAAUAGGUGUUACAUGAAAACGACACGAAUACGACAGACACGACCCGUUUGCCAAGCCUAGUGAGAAGUAAAAAGGUCCACACACCCCUUUAGUUAUUGUUGUUUAGUUUUGUUGAUAGGGCUAAAAUGAUCUUUUAACCCUUGACAAAGAGGGUUAUUUUGUUAUUGUUAUAAAUAUAGGUGUCCAUUAUUUAAUUUGAGUGGAUGACAUUAUGUCUGUGCAAGUAAUGACAUCAUGCAUAUGUAAACAAUGAUGUCAUGACCUAUUCAUUUGCCUAUAUAAUGAAGGCCAAGGCCACUAACAAAUAAGAGAAACAUACGGAGGAAAUGAAAGAAAAGAGGAAAGAAAGAGAGAAAAGAAAGAAGAGAUAUGCAUGAGAAAUACCAGUGAGCCAAGCUAGAGAGAAGAGGAAAAAUAGUGAGAAUUAUUUUGUAUUCCUAUUAUUUCAAAUAAUGAAAGAAAAUACUACUGGCAUCCAAAUGAUGUAGACAUACUUGUCGAACUUCAUAAAUAUUGUGUUUUAUUUACUAUAUCCAACUGCACACAUAUCCUCAAUUUUAAACAGUUUUUGAUUUUUGAUUUUAUUUCUUUUUGUCAAAUUGCCUUUUUUAAAAAAUUUGAAACUCGUUUCAUUUUUUAGUUUUAAAAAUGUGAAAACUGAAAAUAAAAAAGUAAUCCUAGUAAGUAAAUUACUUAUAGGAUUCUAUAAUAUAUUUUAUUGUAAUUGUAUUCCUUGGGGAGUAAGAUUUUUUCUCCCUUAUCACUAUAAAUAGAGGCACAACAAGGUUAAACACCAUACUAUAGAAUCACCAAAUUCUCUCUUCUAAUUAUCCUUGCCGUCGUCAAUCUCCCUCUUGUUGGGCCAUAAUUGUCCAGGGCAGGAGUGAGGCGGAUCAAAAUACGCAUACCUUAGAAGUCCGGUCAUAGACUCGACAGCCUCCGAUGUAGAGCUGAAUAAACGGAGCAGGGAUGACACCAUCAUCCUAUUCUGGAAUCAGUAGACAAAGUCUGACGACUUUGCUAAGAUUUAUCAUGCUUAUUCUGCAAGAUACGAAAACUUAAUCCAACAAGGAAUCAACAGGUUUCGUAUAAUCUUGGAGUUCUUACAAUCUAAGGAUUGACAUGUGUGACAUCCCACAUCGCCCAUGGGAGUGGAUCUUGUAAGCCUUAUAUGUAUAUUUCCAUCUCUUCGUAACACGAGGCUUUUUAGGAGCUCAUUGGCUUCGGGUUCCAUCGGAAUUCCGAAGUUAAGCUAGUUCGCGAAAGAGCAAUCCCAUGAUGGGUGACCGACUGGGAAGUUCUCGUGUGAGUUUCUAGAAACAAAACCAUGAGGGCGUGGUCGGGGCCCAAAGCGGACAAUAUCGUGUUACGACGGAGUCAAGCCCGGGAUGUGGUGGGAGCUAGGGCUAGGAUGUGACAACAUGCACCGUAAGUAAUCACAUUCGUAAAAUGAUGCAAUAUCUACUUCUUAGAUAUCUUUUGUGAUUCUCUCGGUUUGAUAAUGAUUAUAUUAUCCUAAAAUAUGCAUCUCUGCUCCCAAAAUUAUCGCAUACUUAUUAUAUUGCUUAUUGCUUAAGUCUUAUAUUGCUUACUAACUUGAUCGUUGGAGAGCCUUUGAUUAGCAUACACCACCUCCCCCCUCCCCAUGCCCCGAUUAUACUUGUUCACAGUAAUUUGUUCUUUUAUAGUUUAGUUGGAUUUGUGCAUCUUUACCGCUUACAGCGGUGUGAAUUUGGUUCCAACAAUUGGUGUUUUCAUUGAGAGUGAAAAUCAUAUUCCUCUUGACCAACUCAAUCUAUCACAGACAUGAACACAUAAGAAAGCUUUAUUAAAUCCAACACUAACAAGGUGACCGAUGACAACCUUGCCCCUGAUGUCUCAAUCCCAUCCAUUGAGAAUAAUCUUGUUGUCGACACCACCAACACUCUAGGGGCAAGCAAUCAAACCCUUCAUGCUCUAGCCACCCCAAAGGGCGGCGAUGCUUUGCCUAUUGGACCUCCCAAUAUGAGGCAUGUAUGAGAUACUUUACCAAAGAUCGACGCUUCUGUUGAUAAGUUGCAGCAUGCCUAUACUACUUUUCGGGUGAUGUCCUUCGUGGACGUCAAGAAGAGAAUGAAGGCUCUCAAAAGAUCCAGUAGGACCUUCCCACAAACUCAAAUUCCUAUUUUCGAUUAUAGCAACAUAAGUACCAUAACCCCAGAUGAAUAACUCAUCGAGCCAACUUAUACUCCAACUUUAGCAGACAUCACUAAUCCGAGUACAAACCCGCUUCAUAAUGAUCAAACUGCCAAUAACACUGCUCCAAACGGGACAAAGGUUCUACACAACCCUGGUCCCUUGGCUGUUGCAAGAGUGCACCGGAUGGAACCACGACACUGAGCUUUAACGACCCAAAGUCUUCAGAGGAGCCAAAGAGAUGUCGACUCGAUAACCACGACAUGACUAGAGAUGCCCCAAGGAAAACUCCACUUCGUAUCCCUGGUUGGACUGUCGUGAAAGUGAAAAGCACACUCUCUUCAACAAUCGAAUAUCCGCCUUCGCCUUAUAAGUUUUCUCAACCUCAAUUUAAGUACUUCUGCGGUGACACUGAUCCGGAUUACCACAUCAUGCACUAUAUGAGCGUCAUGGCGUUAUACAGCAACAACGACAUUUGGAUGUAGAAGAUGUUCUCCUCUAUCCUAGAGGGGACCGUCAUGAGGUGGUUCUCAGAGUUAUUAACUCGUUUGAUUGAUUGCUUCAAAAAUUUGGUCAACAUCUUCACCAACACCUAUUUGGUGUACUAUGAUGUCCAAAAGCAACACAAGGCCAUAUUCAUCAUGGUAGCUCAAAGCAAGGACAAAAUUCUUAAAGCUUACCUGAAGUGGUUCCACGCGAAAUCGGCUAAGGUAGAAAGGCUUGACGACAUACUUGCCAUCAUGGCUUACAAGUAAGGACUCUAUUUCAACUCGCCCUUCUCCUAGAAGCUGAACAAGAGGAAGUACGACUAUGCCACCCUAGCAGAAUGUUUGACCUCACUAACUGGGACAACAAAACCAAAAGGAAGGUUCCUUAUCAGGACCGCAGUAGGAAGCUCAAACGAAAAAGAGAAGACUAGAGCAAUCCACCUCUAUCUUCCCGUCAACAUGACAUGAGGGGACGAAAAAUAAAUCAGCUCCACUUAGAUUGAGGCAAUAUACUGACCUGCACACAAUCAUCAACAACAUUCUUCACAGCAUCAAGGACAAACCCUUCCUCGAACAGUUGGAACAUCUUCCUGAACAUCUGGUAAAUAAAAGCCAAAAGAGUAUUGCUCAUUCCACCAAUGCAUAAGCCCAUUCGAAAUUGACAAACGCUCAGAGACCACAUCGAGGAAAUCAUUAACCAAUGACACUGUUGGGAGUUUGUAAGAAGCAAGGCAAGGAAAGAAAAAGCCCCCCGAAGAAAAGGACAAAGGUGAAUCCGACAGGUACGACCUGACUGAUGACAAGGAUGACAAGAGGUCAUCAAAGAAGCUCACUCUCAACUUAGGAUUGCAGAGAGAGUGCCGUAGGUUUGAAUAGCAUCCAUCGCCUACUAUUGUGAGAGGCGCGUGUGCAUUGAGUUCUAGAUCACUACCUUUGAAUUUAUACUGCACCCCCUUGACAGUACCUUUUUCUUCCAGUAGAGAUGUCACCAUUCCUUGUUCCAAUCUUACAUUGAUGUCGAAAUUUAAGAAAUGACACACAAAUGAGACUCUAGAAGAGUAUGCAAAUCUCCUUCAUGAUGAAUCUCACAUACCAUGUAUUAUCCGAUAUCGUAUAGAUUCUUGUUAAAUACAUGGUUAAGUUUUCACAGUCUGACAACAUAGCAUGACAAACUUUCAAGCAAAGAGAAUAUAUUAAAGAUCCACUGCAAUAUGUAAUCAAAGGAUCUAUCUUUGCAUAGCAAAUACAGACCAAACGUCAAAUUAUAACAGAUACUUUAAAUAGAUGACUGAAGCGGAGGGAAAAGACCUCUAAAACUUUGAAUUAUACAACACAUGGCGAGCCUACUGAAAAAAGAAUACUAUGAAAUGUGUUUGAAGGGAAAUGAAGAGUACUUGGGAAGAGAUGAAGCUUUUUCCCGCAUCCUUUGAAUGAAACGCCCGUGGUGAAAGCUUCUCCCAGCCCACAUCAGGAUGGAAGUUUUCCAAAGGAUAUGGCAGCUUGGUACUUUUUCCAUCCUUGUAAAGAGCAUAUCCGAAAACCCGUUGAGCAUCAAUCUCAUUUACACAAUCUUCAACCAAACAGAAAUAUUAACAAUUAUGUAGUUGUCUAACUCAUAGUGGAAAUAAAUGAGGAGAACAGUUAUGGAACAUUCAUAUAAGUCCUCAGGUUUAUACUUCUUUACUUCUUUGCUUAUCCUCAAGGCCUAACUCAACUAAUCUGAGAUAUCCCCCUGGUUGCAGCAGCUCGCCGACGAUUCUGUCUGGCUCACUCAAGUCCCUUUCAACCACAUGCACUCGGCGCCCAUCCUGCUGUAUGCAGACAUUGUAAACAAAACAUAGCAAUAGUAAGAAGACAAGACAUGAUAACUUAGAUUUGUGCAAAUUGUAAAUAUUAUGAUCCUGAUGUUACUAAAUACAAUGUAACAAAAAUAUAUGAAAGGAUUUUCC